rnacentral:rRNA from 1 species
UACGGGGGGGGUAAGCGUUGUUCGGAAUUACUGGGCGUAAAGGGCUCGUAGGCGGCCAACUAAGUCAGACGUGAAAUCCCUCAGCUUAACCGGGGAACUGCGUCUGAUACUGGAUGGCUUGAGUUUGGGAGAGGGAUGCGGAAUUCCAGGUGUAGCGGUGAAAUGCGUAGAUAUCGGGAGGAACACCAGUGGCGAAGGCGGCAUCCUGGCCAUGUACUGACGCUCAGGGGCGAAAGCGUGGGGAGCAAACCGG